AUUGAACGCUGGCGGCAGGCCUAACACAUGCAAGUCGAGCGAGCGGCGGACGGGUGAGUUUUGUCUGGUAAACUGCCUGAUGGAGGGGGAUAACUACUGGAAACGGUAGCUAAUACCCCAUACCAUCAGAUGUGCCCAGAUGGGAUUGGCUAGUAGGUGGGGUAACGGCUCACCUAGGCGACGAUCCCUCGCUGGUCUGAGAGGAUGACCAGCCACACUGGAACUGAGACACGGUCCAGACUCCGACGGGAGGCAGCAGUGGGGAAUAUUGCACAAUGGGCGCAAGCCUGAUGCAGCCAUGCCGCGUGUGUGAAGAAGGCCUUCGGGUUGUAAAGCACUUUCAGCGGGGAGGCGUUACCCGAAGAAGAAGCAACGGCUAACUCCGUGCCAGCAGCCGCGGUAAUAG
rnacentral:rRNA from 1 species